rnacentral:rRNA from 1 species
UACGUAGGGUGCAAGCGUUGUCCGGAAUUAUUGGGCGUAAAGAGCUCGUAGGCGGUUUGUCGCGUCUGCUGUGAAAACUCGGGGCUUAACUCCGGGCCUGCAGUGGGUACGGGCAGACUAGAGUGCGGUAGGGGAGACUGGAAUUCCUGGUGUAGCGGUGAAAUGCGCAGAUAUCAGGAGGAACACCGGUGGCGAAGGCGGGUCUCUGGGCCGUAACUGACGCUGAGGAGCGAAAGUGUGGGAGCAAACGGG